AUUGAACGCUGGCGGCAGGCCUAACACAUGCAAGUCGAGCGGAUGAGUGGAGCUUGCUCCAUGAUUCAGCGGCGGACGGGUGAGUAAUGCCUAGGAAUCUGCCUGGUAGUGGGGGACAACGUUUCGAAAGGAACGCUAAUACCGCAUACGUCCUACGGGAGAAAGCAGGGGACCUUCGGGCCUUGCGCUAUCAGAUGAGCCUAGGUCGGAUUAGCUAGUAGGUGAGGUAAUGGCUCACCUAGGCGACGAUCCGUAACUGGUCUGAGAGGAUGAUCAGUCACACUGGAACUGAGACACGGUCCAGACUCCUACGGGAGGCAGCAGUGGGAAUAUUGGACAAUGGGCGAAAGCCUGAUCCAGCCAUGCCGCGUGUGUGAGAAGGUCUUCGGAUUGUAAAGCACUUUAAGUUGGGAGGAAGGGC
rnacentral:rRNA from 1 species